rnacentral:misc_RNA from 1 species
GAUGAAGAACGCAGCGAAAUGCGAUAAGUAAUGUGAAUUGCAGAAUUCAGUGAAUCAUCGAAUCUUUGAACGCACAUUGCGCCCGCCAGUAUUCUGGCGGGCAUGCCUGUCCGAGCGUCAUUUCAACCCUCGAACCCCUCCGGGGGGUCGGCGUUGGGGAUCGGCCCUUUCACCGGGUGCCGGCCCCUAAAUACAGUGGCGGUCUCGCCGCAGCCUCUCAUGCGCAGUAGUUUGCACACUCGCACCGGGAGCGCGGCGCGUCCACGUCCGUAAAACACCCCAACUUCUGAAAUGUUGACCUCGAAUCAGGUAGGACUACCCGCUGAACUUAAGCAUAUCAAUAAGCGGAGGA